rnacentral:rRNA from 1 species
GACGAACGCUGGCGGCGUGCUUAACACAUGCAAGUCGAGCGGUAAGGCCCUUUCGGGGGUACACGAGCGGCGAACGGGUGAGUAACACGUGGGUGACCUGCCCUCAGCUCUGGGAUAAGCCUGGGAAACUGGGUCUAAUACCGGAUAUGACUCCAUGACGCAUGUUGUGGGGUGGAAAGCCUUGUGCGGCUGAGGAUGGGCCCGCGGCCUAUCAGCUUGUUGGUGGGGUGANGGCCUACCAAGGCGACGACGGGUAGCCGGCCUGAGAGGGCGACCGGCCACACUGGGACUGAGACACGGCCCAGACUCCUACGGGAGGCAGCAGUGGGGAAGUCUUGCGCAAUGGGCGAAAGCCUGACGCAGCGACGCCGCGUGAGGGAUGACGGCCU